CAAAAGGCCUCUCUACCAGAUUAAUUUUACGCACACUUUGAACAAAAAACACAGAACCGUGCAUGAGGGUCCCCCCCCGGCCCGAGCCAGGGGACUGGGUGAUCUCACUCUCCGAGGCCGACGUGUCGUAAGGCUUUAAUCAGGUCAACACUCACAAGGCCGUAAGGCUUUAAUCAGGUCAACACUCACAAGGCCGCGGGGCCGUAAGGCUUUAAUCAGGUCAACACUCACAAGGCCGGACGGUAUCCCAUGGCGCGUUUUCAGAGCACGCGAAGAAAACAGCUGGCAGGCAUAUUCAUGGUCAUUUUUUUCAACCUGUCCUUGUCCCAGUCUGUUAAUCCCCACGUCCUCAAGUUGACCACCCUCGUUCCUGUUCCCAAGAGCUCUUUAAGGGCUUCCUGCCACAACGACUACAGCAGCACUCACAAUCAGUAAUCAGGAAGUGCUUUGGAAGGCUGGCUAUGGCACACAUCAACUCCAUCAUCCCAGACCCACUCCGAUUUGCAUACCGCCCCAUCAGACCCAUUGACUACGCAAUCUCAGUUGCAACUCCACACUGCCCUCACCCACCUAGAUGAGAGGAAAAUACCUACGUGAGAGAAUGCUGUUCAUUAACUACAGAGUGUUUAACACCAUAGUCCCCUCCAAGCUCAUCACCAAGCUUGAGACCCUGGGGCUGGACACCUCCCUCUGCAACUCGAUGCUAGACUUCCUGCUAGGCUGGCCCCGGGUGGGGAGGGUAGGCAUCGCUGACAGGGGUAUGUGCUUAGUCCCCUCCUGUACUCCCUGUGUAACCACGACGACUCCAACAACAUCACCAAGCUUGAGACCC
ensembl:lncRNA